GUGAGAUUCCUCUCGGCUUUGAUCUACUAGUUCAUCUUCUACCCUUCAUUAGGCUGUAACUCUUUAGAAUACUUACCUUUGGUGUAUACUAUAGAAAAAAAGAAUAGCCUUACGCCAUAUGGAAUAUGUUGUUAGGCUCAGUUUAUCAUGAUUUUAAAGGGUGUUAUUUAUGUGGAUCCCUUCAGUUUAUCAUGACAGCGGUUCCAAGCCCAUAAGCCUCUUUCCAUGCAUUUCUAUCUUAGUGGAAUGUGAUCUACAAAAAGGUAGCAACCAUUCAAUUUGAUAUGAUUGAAAUAGAGAAAGGUAAAUCUGUCUUUUGACUUGUCCUCGGGUUUUUGGUUUGGUUCCUACUUCUUCUCUUAUUCUUUUCUCUUUUAUACUCUAAAUUAAAAAAACAAAAACAAAAAAGAAAGACAUAGUUGAUCUGCCUCCUGCUAAGAAGCCCCAAUCAGUGAAAGUUUAGACGAAAGCUUCAAACAACUCUUGGUCCUGCCUCUUCCUUUUCUAGGAGUAAUGCACUUGUUGAGACCACAAUGAUAAGAUAUUCCAACUGAAUUCUCAUGUGGACUAAAAGAAGCAGACAUUGCAACUUGGAGGACCUUAUCGAUGACACUAAGAUAUUAUAUCAUCGGUAUUUAACUGCUUUUGAUUCAUCUAGUUCUUCUAACCAACACAUGGAUUUAGAUGGUACCAAAUCUAAAGCACGAGUUUCUUGUCUGUUUGAUCUUCUUCUUUAGUUUGUGAUUGACAUCAUAACUCACCUGUUUCAACUCAGUCUCCUCACACAUAUCUCCUCUUCUUUCAUUUGCUUCUUUAUCUGUAUUGGUAUUGAUCUCUUUUGUUAUUUUGUCUAACAGUUGUUACUUCUUUACUUUAGCUACCAUAAAUUCCUCUUCAGUUCCUAUCCCACCUUCCUUUACAUCUAUUAAUGUGGCUAAGAACCUAUUGAAGCAUUUAUUCUCCUUGGAGCUUUUCGAGUUGACAAAUGAUGAGCUCAACUGGUGUAUUAUUCUCAAUAUACCUUAUUACUGGUUGUACCUAGCCUAGAGAGCUAAGGAUAUGGAUAAUUAAUCUAAUUGUUACCUUCCAAGCUCGGUCAAGGGUUAACCAGUAGUUAGGGAGAUCUAUCUCUGACUUUAUUAAGUGUAUAGGUCAUAUCACAAUCGUUUACACUAGAGCUAAUAGCCUUGUUGCUCAAAAAACUAAGAAUGAGCAAUGAUAUGAGACUAUCGAGUAGAAGAUAAUGGACUUAGAGACUAAGCUUUAUUUUCUAAAGAGGAGUUCCAUAUUGUUGUUAUUGAUUAUUAAAGUAGUUGUGAGGUCUUGACCUGAGCAUCUAGUCCAAGGUUCACUAAAUAAACUGGAAUGAUUUCUUAAAAAGGAGUUGUCAAUUACAUUUUUUAGUUUAAUGAAAAAAAUCUAAGAAAAACCCUAAUCUGAAAAAUGCACUAAUCUUGUGAGGCUAAGGAGGAUUUAGGGAGUAGAUUUUGGGUUAAAUCAGACUUUAGAAUUAGCCUUGAAAUUGAUCUUUAUUCAUGAAAGAAGAUUUUAGUUGGAGAAAAAUAUUAUGCAUGGUAAUAUUAUAUCAUUCAAAAAUAACAAACAGAGG
rnacentral:lncRNA from 1 species